rnacentral:rRNA from 1 species
UCGUAGGUGAGCCUGCGGAGGGAUCAUUA